rnacentral:rRNA from 1 species
GAUGAACGCUGGCGGCGUGCCUAAUACAUGCAAGUCGAGCGAACAGACGAGGAGCUUGCUCCUCUGACGUUAGCGGCGGACGGGUGAGUAACACGUGGAUAACCUACCUAUAAGACUGGGAUAACUUCGGGAAACCGGAGCUAAUACCGGAUAAUAUAUUGAACCGCAUGGUUCAAUAGUGAAAGACGGUUUUGCUGUCACUUAUAGAUGGAUCCGCGCCGCAUUAGCUGUUGGUAAGGUAACGGCUUACCAAGGCAACGAUGCGUAGCCGACCUGAGAGGGUGAUCGGCCACACUGGAACUGAGACACGGUCCAGACUCCUACGGGAGGCAGCAGUAGGGAAUCUUCCGCAAUGGGCGAAAGCCUGACGGAGCAACGCCGCGUGAGUGGUGAAGGUCUUCGGAUCGUAAAACUCUGUUAUUAGGGAAGAACAAAUGUGUAAGUAACUAUGCACGUCUUGACGGUACCUAAUCAGAAAGCCACGGCUAACUACGUG